rnacentral:rRNA from 1 species
GACGAACGCUGGCGGCGUGCUUAACACAUGCAAGUCGAGCGGAAAGGCUCCUUCGGGGGUACUCGAGCGGCGAACGGGUGAGUAACACGUGAGUAAUCUGCCCUGGACUCUGGGAUAGCCACCGGAAACGGUGAUUAAUACCGGAUAUGACCCUCCACCGCAUGGUGUGUGGGUGGAAAGUUUUUUCGGUUCAGGAUGUGCUCGCGGCCUAUCAGCUUGUUGGUGAGGUAAUGGCUCACCAAGGCUUUGACGGGUAGCCGGCCUGAGAGGGUGACCGGUCACACUGGGACUGAGACACGGCCCAGACUCCUACGGGAGGCAGCAGUGGGGAAUAUUGGACAAUGGGCGGAAGCCUGAUCCAGCAACGCCGCGUGAGGGAUGACGGCCUUCGGGUUGUAAACCUCUUUCAGUACCGACGAAGCGCAAGUGACGGUAGGUACAGAAGAAGGACCGGCCAACUACGUGCCAGCCGCCGCCGUAACAC